rnacentral:lncRNA from 1 species
AAAAAUAACUAAUAUGAAAUAUAUCAGCUUCAAAUGAAAUAAUUAUAGCAUAUAAUAAAAUAACGAAUACUAGUGUAUCACUUGCUAUGGACAGACAUUGUCUUACAACAGCCCUCUGAGGUUGGUUCUAUUAUUGUCCUCACUUUAAAAAUGAGGAAAACGUGCCCCAAUCACACAGCUAGAAAGAGGCUGAGCUGGUAGCAAAUCCAAGCACACUGGCUGCUAACUGUGUGCUCUGACCCACUGUCUCUCGUGUGUCUUUGUUAGGAAAUUUCAUGAUCCGACUGGAAUCCAGGAAAAUCACAGCUGAAAUACAAAACAUCAGCCCUUAUCUCCAGCACUGUACAUGGCAGAAACUGCUUUUAUUCUAGAUGUCUAGAUCCAGAUCAACUGCAUGGGGUCCUACAGGAGAAGACCAAGAGACAGAGACAGAGACCAGGGAAAAUGACCGAUACCAUUCCUUCUCAGGGAUGCUACACACCCAUGGGGCAGAGGAUAAGAGGUUCCUGAAGGCAUCACCCCUCUGGCCAUGGCUGGUGUGCAGACAAAGCUGGAGAUUUGGAGUAGCCUGUUGUCCCACUGACUCUUAGACUGCCCCAGCUAAGAAGAACCAACUCCUCCUAUUACAGAUGAAAUAAACAAAGCUACUCAAGCUCUCUGGCAUCGCCCUGACGGUCAUCAUGUGCUUCACAUUUCCCUCCUGCCCCCCCUGAUUUUCUGGAAAAGGGAGAAAGUGUGUGAAAAAAAAUGGACAAUAACUUCUGUUAACUUUGUAGAUGUCUGGUUCCUCCAUAUGAGGCUGUGCUUGAAUCAAUUUUGGAGAGAGGGUUUCUAAAGUCUCUCUAGAUUCUAUUAAUUUUGAUAGAGACAAUAAAAGGCAGCAGGACCAACUCUGUGUGGUGGGAGAUCUAGCAACCAUUAUAGUCACAAUAGCCACCACUUACUGAACACCCACCAUGUGACAAAGAACAAAUGUGCAUGAAUUAUGUCACAUUUUUCACAAGCACCCCUUGAGUUGGGAGUUCACUCAUGAGGCAACUGAGGUUCAGGGAGAUGAAGUAACUCACCCUGUAGGUAGGAGGGCUGAGAUCUGGACGUAGAUCUUUCCUCCAAAGCUUUGUCUUUUUUUUUCUACUAUAGCACACCAAAGAGAGUUCUAGAAAAAAUGAGAAUAAGAAAUUUACCUGUAAUCCUUGCUCAAGAAACUGAAGCUCUGAGGCCACAUUGUUCCAGCCUUUUGCAGCUCCUGCAUGUGGAUACCAGCACCAGCAGCUCCCCGACCAGGGGCCCCAGCUAAGCCCUCCCAGAGGAUGAUCUUGGCUUUGUACAUGGGGUGUCAAUAUCCUGUGAGUCCAACAGAGGGAAGACAUAAGAAUAUGGUCACCCAGGUUUUGUACAGAGGAAAUCCAGGCUCCUAACGAUGGCGAAAGAUGGGAAUAAAAGGAUCAGAACACUGAGCUGGAUCUUCAGUUCAUUUCAGGUAUGGAGAAGGGUAAAUGGUCUUUAAAGAAGGCCGACCUCAAUGAAGGUGUCUUCCAAGGCCUUGUCCACUCAAGGACAUGUUGCAUGCCUGAAACUGAGUAUACAGGAAAAGGAUAGAAAUGGAAUAAAAUGGAAACCCAUAAAUCACACUACCCUGCUAUGCAGUUUCAAACCACUGACUUAAUGAAAUGUUGAUCCACUUUGCCAUGGAUGCCCCACUUUUUAACUCCUUCUUCAGAGUCCCAGGAGGUGAGGCUCUUCUGUUUAACUGAUUUGCAGAAUUUUUGCUUCUGCUAUUACAAUGGCUUCCAUAGUUGAGUACCAAAGACACUUUACUAUGGUGCCACAGAGAUCAUUUUGCAGAUGAGGAAACAGACUGUUCUACUACCCAGGCUUUGGUUUUUUCUACUCAGUCUUGCACAAUCUCUCACUCUCAGCCCAGAACAUUGCUGCAUUUUUGUGAGCCAUCAGCAUCCAAAGUGAACACAGGGUCUAAAUAACUGAAGAUGGCAUGAGGGAACACACAAUCAGGUCUUUAAAAAAAGAAGAAAGUGAAUAGGCAAACUGAACAGGACAUCUAGGACUGAAAAGCCUCUGUGAACAACUGGACUCAAUAUGAAAUUGGCGUGAGCUCACAGAAGACCAGCUGAGUUCCAGAUGUGGUUGGGUAGCUUGGGUUAUGGGCCCGUAUAAAAAAAAUGGUCUCUUCUUGUAAAAGGAAUUCAAAAAAAGACUAAAAGUCACCCCAAAGAGUCACUGUCUUUGUCUUUUGGCCAUUAGUAAGUCAGAAGAGACCUCUAGAGGAGACUGGAUUUUGUGGCUGAUUAUCGAUUAAUUGAUCAUCACUGGGUAUCUUUGGGAGUGUUGCCUUCUCAGGGAGAAGCUGAAAAUCAUUCUGUGAAAGGUAUGUCCACUGACAAUCAUUUAAGCUCUUUGGAGGCAAGAAAUCAGGUAUCUGGGAGAACUCAGAGAUAACAUAGGAGCGACAGGCUGAAACCAUGAGCGAGAUGGGCAGAUGGCUUGAGAAUGACGAUGGGCAGAGGAGAGCAGUGGCAGGGAGAACCCACAGGCCUCUACUUGGAGUCAGCCUGUCAGCAGGAUAAGCUACAAGAUCACCCUCGAGGGAAACUGCAGGCCAGGUCAGGGGCACUGCAAGCUGCAGGUGUGCCCAGGCAGGAGGGCAGGUGGCCUGUGAUGAGGGGCCAUGACUGUGUGGUGGGCUCUCCCACACCAGGAGCAACUAGACACUAGACUGAAAGUUCUUUUAAGUGAGGGAGCCAUCUUCUGUCCAGGGAAAAGUGGUUCGGGAUACAGGAGGAGCCCUGCACCACAGAAUCGGUCUAGUCUCAGGCUGUCUGUUCCACAGGAGCCUCCAGCCCAGUGAUGUAGGCAGCUAUUCACAACCACAUCAUGGCACAAAGUGAGGCCUCCCAAUCCACAGCCAUCCCUGAUUACAGACACUUCACUGGAUGUCUGAACAUAGCUGUGUGUGCCUGGAAAGCCUAGAAAUAGAAACGCUCCUUUUUUCCCCAAGACGAUCAUCUCUACAUCCUGACCUGGAUCAACAGUGAUCCAUUCUGGACAAUCCUGGACACUCCUGCUCCUGGAGAGAAGGGAUAGAUAACUUUUCCACCUGCCUGCCUGUCCUGUCCACCUCGAGGUGGUCUUGUGGCAUCUUGGGCCUCACAUGUCCCAUAGUCUCUUCUCAUCCCUCCAAUUUGCUCCUUCUCCAGACUUCUCUCUCUUGGUUGAGUGGUUCCACCAUUUUCCCAAGUUGCUUGGACCCAACACUUGAGUUACAGCCAACUCCUCUCUUUCUCUCACAACCCAAAUCUAAUUCAUCAGUAAGUCCUGGUGGCUCCACAUUCGGAAUGUUCCUGGGAUGCCACCACUUUUUGUCAUCUCUGUUACUGCUAGCCUGCCCCUUGCUACUGUCAGCUCCAGCCUGGAGGACUGAAAUAACCUCCUCACUGUCUCCAGCUGUUCUUCCCGCCCAUGGUCUAUUCCCCAGACACCACCAGAGGGAUGCUUUGAAGUCCAGAUGGCAUCAUGUCAUUUAGAAUGAAACCUGAGGUCCCAAGUGUGGCCCGAGGGAUGGUCAGGUUGCCCCCAGGGCUCCAUUUCCUGCCACUCUUCCUCUCUCUCACUCUGCUGGAGCCACAUGGUUACUAUUCCUGAACACAGGAGGCUCCCUCCUGCUUCAGGUCUCGUGCAGAUUUGUUCCCACAGCCUGGGGACAGAUUUUAUCCCAGAAGUUCCCAGGGCUUGAUUCCUCCCUUUAUUUAGUUCUCAGCUGAAAUGUCCCCUCUUCUGAGCAGCCUUCUCUCACCACCCGAUGGAAGCAGCCGUCCCUGCACGCUCUAUCACUUCACUCGGCUCUAUUUUUCUUCCUAACACGUUCACAACUUGACAUUCUUUUAUAAUUUUUCACUUAUUUAUUGAGUGCUGUCUCUUCCACUAGAACCCCUGAAAGCAGGGAUUUUUAUAAUCUUUUGGCCACCACUAGAUUCAUAAGGAUGCACAGAGCCUGGUAGGCUGCAGGCUGUCCAUAACUGCUUGUUGAAUGAAUCGAUGGAUGAAUGAUCAGCAGAAGCUCGUUUCUCUCCAUGAAAUACAACGGGUUCCAAAGAAAUCGAAGCCUUUUUGAAAGGCCUAGCCAUACUUCACCCAUACAGCUGCAGUGGCAGAUCCAUGCUCAUGACCUCAUUUCUCUCC